rnacentral:rRNA from 1 species
GUGCCAGCCGCCGCGGUAAUACCGGCAGCCCGAGUGAUGGCCGAUCUUAUUGGGCCUAAAGCGUCCGUAGCUGGCUGCGCAAGUCCGUCGGGAAAUCCACCCGCUUAACGGGUGGGCGUCCAGCGGAAACUGUCCGGCUUGGAGCCGGAAGAUCCGAGGGGUACGUCCGGGGUAGGAGUGAAAUCCUGUAAUCCUGGACGGACCGCCGGUGGCGAAAGCGCCUCGGGAAGACGGACCCGACAGUGAGGGACGAAAGCUCGGGUCUCAAACCGGAUUAGAAACCCCGGUAGUCC